rnacentral:rRNA from 1 species
CCUACGGGAGGCAGCAGUGAGGAAUAUUGGUCAAUGGUCGGGAGACUGAACCAGCCAAGCCGCGUGAGGGAUGAAGGUACAGAGUAUCGUAAACCUCUUUUGUCAGGGAACAAAGGCGGGGACGCGUCCCCGGAUGAGUGUACCUGAAGAAAAAGCAUCGGCUAACUCCGUGCCAGCAGCCGCGGUAAUACGGAGGAUGCGAGCGUUAUCCGGAUUUAUGGGGUUAAAAGGGUGGUCAGGCGGGCUGUUAAGUCAGCGGUCAAAGCCCGGGGCUCAACCCCGGCCCGCCGUUGAAACUGGCAGUCUCGAGUUGGAGAGAAGUAUGCGGAAUGCGCGGUGUAGCGGUGAAAUGCAUAGAUAUCGCGCAGAACUCCGAUUGCGAAGGCAGCAUGCCGGCUCCACACUGACGCUGAGGCACGAAAGCGUGGGUAUCGAACAGGAUUAGAUACCCUGGUAGUC